rnacentral:lncRNA from 7 species
AAUGCAUGUAAAUACAGAGCAAGCAAGUAGGAAAGCUAGGCAUAGCACAGCAAAAGAGAGCAAAGCAAAAGAAGGCAAAGAAUGACAAAAAGCAACCUUGCAGGAAUGGAGGAAUCUGUCCAGAGCUGUGCCCCUGCUUGCCACAGGAGCUGCGCGGGAGGAGAAGAACGUGGGCCAAAAGAUUUGUUUUGCUUGCAGGUGUUCCACUUUGGCUUUGUAUGACACAGUGGACGAGAGGGGACGGCGUUCAGUGGAACAAACGCUGCAGACCCUGGGGAGAAUCAAAGCAGGAGAGAGGAAACGUGCCCUUUGCAGCAGGGGCCGUUGUGCUGGCAUUGCCCAUCGCAUCCACUGCUGCUGUGGUCCUUUCUUUCCUUUGGGCAGUUUGCUGUCUCUCACGGGGUUGUCUACAAUAGGUGUUUGUUUGUGUGUCCGUGUGAGGCUGUUGAAUAAAAUUCCUACCUCUGUGUUCUGCUCUGGGUGCGUGGUUUUCUUGCCUCUGCUCCUGAGGCAUCCUGACUGUCGGAUCCAAACGUACCCUGGGACAGACAGACAGACAGACAGCCAAGGCAGGCAGGUGCUGCGAUGCCAACCGGCCCGCCAGCCAAGGUUGGCAGGCACGUGUGUGUGUGUGUGUGGGUGUGCGCAAGGGUGGGGUUGCACAUGUUUUGUGUACACGUGGGUGCACAAGGGGAGGGGUUACACAGCUGUGAGUAAGCACAUGGAGAGUGUAAGGAUGG